rnacentral:rRNA from 1 species
GAAAUCUGGCUGGUUUACUAGUCCGAGUUGUAAUUUAAAGAAGCGUUUUCGGUGGCAGCCUGGGUAUAAAUCCUUUGGAAUAGGGUAUCAUAGAGGGUGAGAAUCCCGUCUUUGACCUAGUGCAUGCUACUAUGUGAUACGUUUUCAAAGAGUCGAGUUGUUUGGGAAUGCAGCUCAAAAUGGGUGGUAAAUUUCAUCUAAAGCUAAAUAUUGGCGAGAGACCGAUAGCGAACAAGUACCGUGAGGGAAAGAUGAAAAGAACUUUGAAAAGAGAGUUAAACAGUGCGUGAAAUUGUUGAAAGGGAAACGUUUGACACCAGUCAUGUGGGUGGAAAAUCAGUCUUUUGCAUUGGGGAGUUGUAAGGGUUCGGACCGCAAGGCCGGCUUUUGCUUCAUCUUUGGUGUAAGUGAUGCACUUUUUCAUCUACAGGUCAACAUCAGUUUCUUUUGCUGGACAAAACUCCGAGAGAAGGUAGCAGCUUAGGCUGUGUUAUAGCUCUGGAGCGAUACAGUGAAGGGGACUGAGGUUUUCGCAGCGUGUGCUCUCGGGCAAGGCUGGAUGGGUGCUAUGGGAUCGUUCGGGGUACAAUGCCUGGCAUUUUGCUUCGUGUCUUUUCUAUACUCGCUCAACUCAGCUCUUCCACGCUUAGGAUGUUGACUUAAUGGUUUUAAACGACCCGUCUUGAAACACGGACCAAGGAGUCUAACAUAUAUGCAAGUGUUUGGGUGGCAAACCCAUGCGCGUAAUGAAAGUGAACGUAGGUGCGAUCCGCAAGGUGCAGCAUCGACCGAUCUUGAUAUUUUUGGAUAGAUUUGAGUAAGAGCAUAUAUGCUGGGACCCGAAA